GUUGUCCUGACAACCAACCACUCAGCUGGAGCGACCGCCAGAGGAGGAGCUAUUCUGUGAUUUCUGAGCCGUACAAGUGCAUUAUUGUAUUAUUUGUUGCGUCUUAGUGUCUGUGUGUGUUGUUUGUUGUUGUGUGUCUGUGUGUCUGUGCUUUUAUUUCAGGUAACACCUCACUUUCCGGUUAUACCAUCCUUUCCGGAUCAUCCAGUGAUGGAGCGCCACACUUUUGAAAGGACACCCCACUAUGACUACACGGAUGACGAGUACCUAAUAUGAUAGAUUUACCAAGACCAGCAAUUCAUAACAGAUGUAAAGUAAACUAUCUACAGCCAACCCAUACACAAUGUAUAGAGAGGCAGAGCACAUACAUGACUGCCUUUCCAUGCUCGAUAUCACAGGUGGUCCCAACAAUGAGACCCCUGCAAUCAUACUGCAUACUUAUCCCCCAUUCUGGGAAUAGGGUAUACAUCUUAACCUCUUAAGGACGCAGG